GUGGGCAUAGCUCAGUGGUAGGGCACAUGCUUAGCAUGCACAAGGUCCUGGGUUCAAUCCCCAGUACCUCUA
rnacentral:tRNA from 1 species